AGGAUCCAUUUCAUAUAGCCAUUUUCGGAAUUUUAUGCUUCUUCUUCCUUCAGAGCGCCUCGAAGAGGAUCCAAGGUUUUUUAUUUGUUAUGCUGUUUCAUCGAAUUUACAUACUUUCUAUUACCAAAUCGAAUAAUUUCAGCAUCUAGAUAGAAAAGAAUUAUUGUAACUUUGAUGGAAACAUGGCAUAUAUGUAGAGAAUGAAUUGCUGGUAGUUAUCGUUAUCAUAAUUAGAAUUUUUUUUCCAGCUAUAUGGCAUUUUUACUAUCUUUUUCUAUUAGUGUAAAUAUAGUUUCAUAAAUAAUUAUAAUUAGCUUAUAGUUAGAAUGACAUAUUUUGUAAUUCCUUAGCUAGUUAGUGUAGAAGAAUAACUGAAUUAGUUAUUUUAAUUGUGUAUAAAAGACUGUCAAUAGCUAAUGGAAAGGGAUCGAGAUCUCUCUCCCCUUAUUUACUCUUGAGUUCUUAUAUUUUCCUCUUAUUAUUAUUGGUUUACAUAGGUGUCGUUGUUAUCUUUAUUUCUACUUCAUUUUUUCUUUUGAAGGUAUUUUUGAUGUUUGCUAGUCAUUAAAUUAUACAUUGUCUUGUAUAUAUUUAGGAGAUGCAUCAACUGAUCAACAUAUCUAUUUCCAAUAAUCAAUUUUAUUCUAGCAAUGUACCAGCUGUAAUAUUUUAGAUCUGAUAUUUAUACAGUUAACAAAAAAAGCUCAUAUUACAUUGUAAUAGACUCAAUUUCUGAUAAGUACAUCUCUACAUAUGUAUUUUCUGAUUUUUACGCAGGAGCAUUUGGUUUGAAGCCGCUACAGUUGUUGCAGUACCCCCACCUGUGGAAAUACCUGCCGGCAGUGUUCUAAAAUCUGCUCUGGCUGGAGGGCUGGCCAGUGCUCUCUCUACUUCUCUAUUGUAUCCUAUAGAUACCAUGAAGGUAAUUGCAAAUAUUUUCUCUAUAAUUUUGGUUUUAAAGUUUUAACAGAUAAAUUGAUUUUGUUAAGUUAAUGUCUGUUCAUUUACUUCAUUAUAGUUCACAAAGGGAAAUUAUCAAUGAAUGCCCUCAAAUACUCUCUGUGUGAUUUAUAGUUUUUUUGGGUAAUAGGUGUAGGACGAGCUCAGAUACGGAUAUACAAUGAUUAUGGGACCUGAGAAAGGUCACCGUCAUUUUCUUACCCAACUCUAUUAGCAGCAUUUUAGAGAUGUUGGCUGAUGCCUCAAGAAGUGACUCCACCAAUUAUCACAUCAACUUCAAUCUGUCGUAGAUUGGGUUUCUUGUGGACUUUGGCAUGAAUCUUUGAUUUCUUCCUUAGCAACCUUGGAAUGUGAUUUGUAGUUCAAUACAUAGUUCGAAAAAGCGGAAAGCGCUCCCAAUUUCCAGGGAGCGCUUUUUUAGC
rnacentral:lncRNA from 1 species